rnacentral:lncRNA from 1 species
GGAAAGUUUGAAAUUGACUUUCUGUUCCACAGAAGGGUGAGUGACUGUAAGAUCAAGAUUCAGCACACGUGUGAGAAUGUGACUCCACUACAGAAAUACAGUUCACAAGAGGGAUUGAGGCUCUCACACAGAUUCAGUCCAGUGUUGAGAUUGUGACUGAUGUACUUAGACACAACACAAAGGGCAUGUUGGCUCUGUUACCUAGAACUGGGACAUGUGCUGGAUUCUUAAUUUAAUCUCUGGACCUUCCUGCAGGAGUGACAGUGACAUGUGUCUCUUUCCAGCACCUGAGUGAUUUGACUCUUUUGCUUGGGGCCUGCCCAAAUAUGAGUUUGUGACAUAUCACUAAAGGUAGCACCUAGGUGAUGUGACUCAUUCUCUUUACUUGGUGCUGGCCAUAAGAGACAUUUUGACAUAUCAUGGGCCUUGCAACCUGGUGGUACGAAUCUUCUCUUCUGUCUUUGUUUUUUUUUUAAGGCGGCAUUGUGACAUAUUGCUGCCCUGCAAAAGGGUUGUGUGACGCUCCUGCCUGUGCCCUGUCCACAUAGACCAUUGUAACAUAUUGUUGGGUCUAACACUUUGGUGAUGUAACUCUCCUGCCUGGUCCCUGCCUACAGAGGACAUUGUGACAUAUUUCUCUGCCCAUCACCCGGUUGAUGUGACUCACUUCUCCUGCCUGGUCUCUGCUCACAGAGGAGAUUGUGACAUAUACCUGGGCCCAGGACCUAGCUAAUUUGUCUUUUGUCUUUUUACAGCUUUCUGCCAACAAGAAAGAUAGUGAUAUAUAAUGGGGUUUAAUUCCAAGGUAUUAAUAAUAUUGCUAUUUUCCCUUGGCCCUGCUCUCAGAUGGAAUUGGGACAUAUUGAUAGGCCCCAGAAGCAAGGCGAUGUGAGUCUCCUGCCUGGAGCCUGUCCACAGAGGGCAUUGCUGCGUAUCUCUGAGCUCAUCAACUAUUUGAUAUGACUCUCCUUUUACUUGAGUUUUUUUAAAUAAAAGAGAUUUUGACAUAUCUGUGGGCCCAGCACCUAGGUGAUGGAACUGUCUUCUGCCUGAGUCACUCCCACAGAUGAGACAGUGACUUAUUUCUUGGACCAGCACACUAGUGAUGUAAUUUUCCUGCCUGAUUUCUGCACACAGAUUUCACUGUGACAUAUCUCUGGCCCCAUCACCUAUAUGAUUUGACAGUCUUCUUUGUUCUGGGACCUCUCCACAGUAGGCAUUGUGAUAUAUCACUUGGCCUAGCAGAGAGCAUUGUGACAUACCCGCGAGCCAAGCACACAGAUGAUGUUAUUCUGCUGCCUGUGCCCUGCUUUCAGGAGUGGAUUGCAAUGUAACACUGGCUGAGUACCCAGGUUAAUGACACUGUUGCCUGGUCCCUGUUCUCAGGGAAGACUGUAAUAGACCCCUGACCCAAUAUCCAGGGGACAUUGUGACAUACUUCUUGGCCAUGAACCCAGGUUAUGUGAGCCUUUCUGUGCCCUGCCCAUGUGGACAAUUGUGACAUAUUACCGAGUCCUACACCCAGGCGAUGCUACUCUCCUGUCUGGUCCUUGCCUACAGGGAACAUUGUGACAUAUCUCUUUGCCAUUCAUCCAGGUUCUGCCCACAGGGAAGAUUGUGGUGAAUUACUGAACGCGAUACCUAGAUGAAGGAGAGACUAUAACAUACCUCUUGGCCCAGCACCUAGUUGAUGUAACUCUGCUCUCCUGCCUGGGCCACACCUACAGAAGAAAGAGUGACUUCUCACUGGGCCAGCACACAGGUCAUGUUAUUUUACUGCCUUGAUCCUUGUCCACAAUAAUCAUUGUACAUAGUUUUGGGCUCUUCUACUAGAAGACGUGCGGGAUGGUUAAAUAUCACUGGACCUAGCACCUAGGGAAUGUGACUCUUGUCUUUUGCAUCAGCCCCACUCGUUUUGAGAACUGUAACAUAUCACUGGGCCAAACACCUAGAAGAUGGGAAGUGUCUGCCUAUGCCCUGCAAACAGGGCUUUAGCCCUACCACUCUCAAGAGCCUCGUGACAUAUCUCUGCAUUCAUCAUCUAGGAGAUGUGACUCCUCCCUGCUGCCUGCGCUCUGCCUACAGGGAAGACCAUAACAACAUUUGGCCCAGCAACACGGUGAUGUGUUUUUUCCCAGGGCCUUGCUCACAGGGAGCAUUGUGACAUAUCACUGGAACCAGCAUCCAGGGCUGUGACUCUGUGUCCUGCUGUUAGAACAGGAUUGUAACAUAUCACUGACCAAGCACCCAGGUGAUGUGACUCUUCUGCCUGGUGCCUGCCUUCAGGGAAAAUUGUGACAUAUGCCUGGCCUAGCACCAAAGUGAUGUGGCUCUCCUGCUACCUCUAUGCACAGGUGGGAUUGUGACAUAUACCUUCAUUCAGCUCAUAGGUGAGGUGAUAACUCUCAUACCACAAACCAAACAGUAGGAGAGAUGCUGUCUGUCAAAGCUAAGCUUACAGAAAUACACAAGAUUCAGGGACUUUUCUUUGUAUAAACAUUAUAGUAGAUUACUGCUCUCUUGUAUAUAAUAUAAACUUCUCAGGUGGUACAGAGAGUGUCAUCACAGGGCCCAGCGCACAGGUGAGAAUACAUUAUUUGUAUGCACGCCCCACCACCCAUUAGGAUUUUCACCCUCAAACAUGGAAAGAGCCUACUGGUAAGGUCUUGAAUCUCACACCUGGAUGCAGUCUACAGUUGAAAUUGUGAUUGUCAUAGGUGAAUAUCCAGCUGCAGUUGAGAUGGUGACUCAUUUCUAACUUAGCUCUGAGGCAGGUGAGGACUGUUUUAUUUGGAACCAGCCAAUUAUAAAGAUGUUGACUCUCAUAUUUGAGCUUAGUUCUACAGGUACAAUCAUGGGUCCAUAACAUCAUGAAGGUCAUAGAGCAGUUUGCAACUCUCAUUAAUACUGUAGAAGGCUCUUGGGUGGUACUGAGAGGGUCUUAGCAGAGCCCCGCACACAGGUGAGAUUGUGACACUCAUAUGCACACCCAGCCAACAAUAAAACUUUUCAUCUUUCCACAUGAACACAGCCCACUGUUGAGGUCCUGAGUCUCCCUUGUGAAAACAGUGCAAAGUUGAAAAAUUGACUCUUAUAUGUGGAUUUGGUUCACAGAUGGGUUGGUGAUGCUCAGACAAAUAUUCAGCACACCUGUGAGUCUGCGACUCCAGUAAUCAUCCACAGUCUGCAGGAGAAAUUGAGGCUCUCACCAACAAAUCAAGUGCACAAUUGAGAUUGCGACUCUUGUACUCAGACCCAACAUACAGAAUGUGUUGACUCUCAAUUUUAAAACCAGAACAUGUGUGAGAUUAUUAAUCUGAUCUCUAAACCAUCCUGCAAGUGUGAUUGUGACACAAGUCUCUGUUCAGUACUUGAGUGAUUUGACUCCUUUGCCUGGGCCCAGUCCAAAGAUGUAAUUGUGACAUAUCACUGAAACCAGCAUAUAGGAGAUGUGUCUCCAUACUCCUGCCUUGGUGCUGCCCACAGUGGGCACUGUGACAUAUCACUGGGCCUUGUAUCCAAGUGAUGACUGCCUGCAGGGGAUAUGGUGACAUUUUACUUUGCCCAGCACCAAGAUGACUUGAAUCUGCUGCCUUUGUUCUACUUUCAGAAGACAUUGUGACAUAUCGCUGGGCCUAGCACCAAGGUGAUGUGAAUCUUCUGCCUGGACCUGCUCACAGAGGGAAUUGUUACAUAUUUUUGACUUCAUCAACUAUUUGAUGUGACUCUCCUCUCUAACCUGGGCCUUGCCCAUAAAAAACAUUGUGGCUUAUCUCUGGGCCCAAAACCUAGGUGAUGUGACUGUCUUCUUAGGGUCAUGCCCACAGUAGAGAGAUGCCUUAUUGCUAAACCCAGCACACAGGUGAGGUGAUUCUUCUGUCUGGUCCCUGCCCACAGGGGUCAUGAUGACAUCUCUCUAAGCCCAUCACCUAGAUUAUGUGAGUUCUCUUUUUCUUCUGUUAGCUAUAUAGAAGAUUGUGACAUAUUGCUUGGCCCAGACCUCAUGUGAUGUGAAUCUCCUCUCAUGCCUUGGUCCUGUUUUUUUUUGGCCGUUGUUGUUUUGUUUUGUUUUUUGAGAUGGAGUCUUGCUCUGUUGCCUAAGCUGGA